UACGUAGGGGGCAAGCGUUAUCCGGAUUUACUGGGUGUAAAGGGAGCGUAGACGGCAUAGCAAGUCUGAAGUGAAAGCCCAAGGCUCAACCAUGGGACUGCUUUGGAAACUGUUAAGCUAGAGUGCUGGAGAGGUAAGCGGAAUUCCUAGUGUAGCGGUGAAAUGCGUAGAUAUUAGGAAGAACACCAGUGGCGAAGGCGGCUUACUGGACGGUAACUGACGUUGAGGCUCGAAAGCGUGGGGAGCAAACAGG
rnacentral:rRNA from 1 species